rnacentral:tRNA from 1 species
AAAGAUUUAGUUUAACUUAAAACAUUAACUUGUCAAGUUAAAGUUACUUACAUGAAGUAAUCUUUA